AGAGUUUGAUCCUGGCUCAGGAUGAACGCUGGCGGCGUGCCUAAUACAUGCAAGUCGAACGCACAGCGAAAGGUGCUUGCACCUUUCAAGUGAGUGGCGAACGGGUGAGUAACACGUGGAUAACCUACCUCAAGGUUGGGGAUAACAUUUGGAAACAGAUGCUAAUACCGAAUAAAACUUCGUAUCGCAUGAUACAAGGUUAAAAGGCGCUACGGCGUCACCUAGAGAUGGAUCCGCGGUGCAUUAGUUAGUUGGUGGGGUAAAGGCCUACCAAGACAAUGAUGCAUAGCCGAGUUGAGAGACUGAUCGGCCACAUUGGGACUGAGACACGGCCCAAACUCCUACGGGAGGCUGCAGAAGGGAAUCUUCCACAAUGGGCGAAAGCCUGAUGGAGCAACGCCGCGUGUGUGAUGAAGGCUUUCGGGUCGUAAAGCACUGUUGUAUGGGAAGAACAGCUAGAGUAGGGAAUGACUUUAGUUUGACAGUACCAUACCAGAAAGGGACGGCUAAAUACGUGCCAGCAGCCGCGGUAAUACGUAUGUCCCGAGCGUUAUCCGGAUUUAUUGGGCGUAAAGCGAGCGCAGACGGUUGAUUAAGUCUGAUGUGAAAGCCCGGAGCUCAACUCCGGAAAGGCAUUGGAAACUGGUCAACUUGAGUGCAGUAGAGGUAAGUGGAACUCCAUGUGUAGCGGUGGAAUGCGUAGAUAUAUGGAAGAACACCAGCGGCGAAGGCGGCUUACUGGACUGCAACUGACGUUGAGGCUCGAAAGUGUGGGUAGCAAACAGGAUUAGAUACCCUGGUAGUCCACACCGUAAACGAUGAACACUAGGUGUUAGGAGGUUUCCGCCUCUUAGUGCCGAAGCUAACGCAUUAAGUGUUCCGCCUGGGGAGUACGACCGCAAGGUUGAAACUCAAAGGAAUUGACGGGGACCCGCACAAGCGGUGGAGCAUGUGGUUUAAUUCGAAGCAACGCGAAGAACCUUACCAGGUCUUGACAUCCUUUGAAGCUUUUAGAGAUAGAAGUGUUCUCUUCGGAGACAAAGUGACAGGUGGUGCAUGGUCGUCGUCAGCUCGUGUCGUGAGAUGUUGGGUUAAGUCCCGCAACGAGCGCAACCCUUAUUGUUAGUUGCCAGCAUUCAGAUGGGCACUCUAGCGAGACUGCCGGUGACAAACCGGAGGAAGGCGGGGACGACGUCAGAUCAUCAUGCCCCUUAUGACCUGGGCUACACACGUGCUACAAUGGCGUAUACAACGAGUUGCCAACCUGUGAAGGUAAGCUAAUCUCUUAAAGUACGUCUCAGUUCGGACUGCAGUCUGCAACUCGACUGCACGAAGUCGGAAUCGCUAGUAAUCGCGGAUCAGCACGCCGCGGUGAAUACGUUCCCGGGUCUUGCACACACCGCCCGUCA
rnacentral:rRNA from 1 species